rnacentral:lncRNA from 1 species
GUUGGAUAAAUUUACAAAUAUGUUUCUUACAUUUUCUUCUUCCUUUUUCAAAGAGCCAACUGUUAAACAUAUGCCAGUACACCACUGACUCUACCCUGGGACACUGGGCUUUGUGUCAUCUAAGUCCAGUGACAAGACAAAGAUCAAGAUGACUUUGCCCUCUUCAAUGUCUGAUGAAGCUCAAAGAGCUCAACUGCUUCUGCUUCAACUGCCUUCUUCAUGGACAUGGGAACAAAUUGUUCUCAUCCUCCCCUUCUCUCAGGAGAGGUGGAUCUGGCUGGUGAUUUCCUGUGAACAAGCCUGGGUGCCAGUUCGAUACUGGAACUCAAGCCUGGAGGAGCUCCCUCAGACAGCUUCCUUGAGACAGUCUCGUGGUGAGUGAUAAGACUGACUUCCUUUUCCCUUGGCACUCAGGGGAGGCCCCCUUGGCCAAGGCCUUUAACUCCUGCCUGGCUCAGCCUGAGCCAGAGCAGUUUAAAUUAACUCUUUCCUCUCUCUCUUCUCCUUAAUUCCUUCUCUCUAUAUUAAUUAAAAUCACCAUAGUUUCCAGCGGACUUGGGUAUUUUAUUUGGAAUAUCCCAUGGCAACCAGUAAUUAAAUAUAUUUUGGGUCACAACUAUAAAAUUAUCCUUACAUAACACAGAAGUCCCUGGCCUCUGGGUUGGGUAAGACUGGCUAAUCAUACUGUGCCAGUAAAACUUAGUGUUUUGGACAAAAUAAGAUCAUGAGAAUAAGGUGAGAAUUCGACAUGGCACAGCAGUGGGGUUCAAGGGAGUUUGGCUAUAUGGAUGGCUUUUGCUGUGUCUGUAUUGUGUUUUCUUGUAUUAUAUUUACAUCUCUGGGCCCUUAGACUUAGAAUGCACUGAACAACUGUGUGAAGAUUCUGUAUCUAUCACACAAUCAUUGUAUUCUAGCAAAUCUCCUCUGGAAUUUUCCUUUUUCUCUCAGGCAUGGCUAGUUUAGGACCUAUGGAAACGUUGCAAUCAAUGGUUGUGGAACUCUGAAACUCAGGUUUGUUAUCUAUAGAAUGAAUGAGUUAGAC